AGCCUUCUCUUCUCCAAGCUAAACGAGCCCAGUUCCCUCAACCUUUCCUCAUAGGAGAGGUGCUCCAGCCCUCUGAUCAUCUUAGUUAUUGCAUUCUUUGCAAUCACUUGCAGCCUGGGACUGCUUUCUGGCUCUGAAUUAUUAGAUACCCUUUACUACUUUUUUCUUCUUGUGACAUCUUCCUGCCAUACAAUUCACAUGACAACUGCCAUUUAGUGUGUAUAUAUAGGGAAGGGUUGUUUAUUUUAGUACCAAUUGUCACACCUGUUAUAAACAUACUACUGCUACAUAUUCCAGUUGCCAAAUAUAUAAUAACAACUGCAGUACUCUUUAAAACUGACUUAAGACUGAGAUGGAAAGUGGCUGCAGUGUACUUGCUUUCAGUGAUGUCUGGGCUGGAGUUAUUUGGAGCUGCAGUGGUUGAUUACUGUUUGCGAGGAGGGUAAGAAUAUUAAAAGUUAAUGGCCAGCCUUGGAAUAACAGAUAUCUGAUACUGUUGGGCUUUCCUAGUGGUGAAGGAAGAUAAUUUGGGUACAGGAAUGGGAGUCGGUUUGUAUUAGAUUUAACUUACAAGAAAAUGCUACGAUGAAAAUCUCCUUUUUAUUUGGUUUGAUGUAUUUCUGCAGUUCUUAAAAUAAUUGUGGCAAAUGGAGCGAUGUUUGAAGUGUAUAAAAAUGGAAAGUUUUCAUUCCAUCUCUGAGAAGCGUGCCAAGUGAUGAAAAUUAAGGUAAAAAGGAAUUUGUGGAAGAAAUGAAGAGCAUAGACUUCUCUGGAAUGUGAGAGAGGCAGGCGUGUUGGUGUUCCUGCAAUAUUCAGGAAUUUCCUUCUGGGGCUGCAUUUGGCUUGAGGACUACAGCUGCUGCACACAGCAAACCAGGGUGACCAGCAGAUGUCAGCUCUUUGGUUCGGUGCAGGUUUUUUUUAAUAUACUGAUGCAGAAAACCACAGCCCACAGUGACUGGUCCAGAAACAGAAGGGAUGAGAAGUCUCAUCAGGAGGAAAUCGCAGUUGCUGUGGACAGGACUACACAGAGAAAAGAAAGAAGAACCUGGCCCUUCAGAAUGAUGCAUCUGCAACUGCAUCAUACAGAAAUUUACAGCCAUCUUCAAACACCGCCCAGCUUGCCUGCUGGGGCAUCUAUUUCAGUGCCGAAUAGAUGGUCAUUGCCAUAACAUCCAACACUGUGAUUGCUGCUGUGAUGGCCACUAUUAGUGCAAAUGGCAGUUUCAGGCCCAUUACACUGAGUGCAUUCAGGAGGGCCCAAAACCUGUGGAAAAUGUAUAAUUAAACUAUUUGGGAACACUUAGGCCAACUGAUACCAGAAUGAAUUAUGGUAUAUGCAGCUUGUUGUUCUUCUAAUGAGUAAUACAGUUACUGCUAUAAAGUAGCUGUUUUGAAUAAUUGUCUAAUUUUCAAAUGGAAAAAUAUAUUGAGAUAAUUACUUAAGUAGAGUCUAAAAAUAAAUUCUAAGUUCAUUAAGAAACAGCUUUAAAUUUGCUAAAUACUUUAGCUGGCCUUAUUAAAAUACAUUGCUUCAGAAAGUGAGAAAUUAUUCUUUUGUGGUGAGAUGAGAAAAGUAGCUUUAAUAACAAAAGUAUGUUUUAAAUUUAAAUAUGUAAGCAUUUCAAACCUUACAGCUUCAAAAGUGAAAAAGAUGAAUGGAUCAAACCCUGUCCCCAUUUCAGUUAAAGACAGUCUUGCCACUUAUUUCAGUCAAGUACGGGUGACACUCAAAGUGGUGAAUCUAACCUAUAAUUUCCCCACUGCUCUGUUUUACUGGGAGAUAAUACAUUUACCUCAUUCAGGCCUUUGUAUCUCUCAUUAGCUCUCAUCCAGGAACCCCAAGGAGUUUAAUGGUGGAACCUGAACAAUCAUGCAAAAUCCACUUCUGCUUAUAAUACCCAUGUAGGGAUGUCACCCCUCUCAAACUCUUUCCUAGUGAAACAAACCAGUGAGAUUCAAGACCUGAAAAGAAGAUUAUUGUAGCUUUUACAAAAAUCUUUACAAGUGGGUCAGUUACUUUACAGCUCUAAUAGUAUUCUUUUUUUCUUUCUCAUGUAAUUAUUAACCCAGUAGCAUAUUUUGAUUUAAGUUAAUCUUUGCUUUUGUAUAGCGUUAUUUGCAAUAAAUUCUGAAGUAUCAAAUGCUUUUGUGUGACGUGGAGAAGGUGUCUUUAUCAGCAGGAGCAUCUCCUGGGAAGGAAUCAAAGAGCACAGGCAGCAGUGUGAAGACAGUCUAAUCACACAAGAUGGAAUUAUCAUAGAUUAUCACUCUUCUAAUUCAUUCUGAAUAGGAACUACCUUAUUAUCUACUUUAUCAUCCUUUACUGGAUGUGGCAGGGAAUGUGCCCACUGAGGAUAACGACAAGGCUGAAGUUCUCAAUGCCUUCAUACAAUCAUAGAAUCACUAAGGUUGGAAAGGACCCACAGGAUCAUCCCAUCCAACCAUUUGCCCUUCACCAAUGGUUCCCGCUAAACCACAUCCCUCAACGCAACAUCCAAACGCUCUUUGAACACCACCGGGCUUGGUGACUCCACCACCUCUCUGGGCAGCCCAUUCCAGUGCCUGACCACCCUUUCAGAGAAGUAGUAGUAGUAAUUAGCUCUGGUCAGCACCAUUCUUGGUUUAACUUACAUGUAUACUGGAAGUGCAGGCUCUCAUUAUAGAGAAGAAGAGGCACAGAGCUAAUUACAGUUGUGUAACCACGUCCAGUGCCAUCUGACUUGCCAUAGGGCAGCUGAUAAGACAAGGAGGGAAGAAAUGGGGCCUACAGAAGGUCCAUGCCCUCCUGGAUGGUGGGAGGCUAGCCAGGGACACAUCACACAGCACAUGGUGUUUUGCUCACCCACUUGGCUUGAACUCUUUCCAAAUGAUGACCUAUGAACUGCUCUCCAAGCUAUUAAUGGGAUCUCCAUUGACUGUAGUAGGGCAUAGGCAGUUUUAGGUGUCUGAAUCUCCUGCCAAAUCCCAAGUACUGUUUCCGUACUGUUUCCAUACUGCUGUGUCCAACCCACUGUGGUCCUUCCACAGAGCUCUCCACAAACCCCUGUUUUGCAGCGUUAUGUGGGGAAGCUUUAAGAUGAAGCCUUCUUUGUUGUUGUUGUUGCUUUUCAGCUAUUCUUGAACCUAUUAAAUGUGUUUGUUUUUUUUUUUCCCCUAUCCUUACUAUGAAU
rnacentral:lncRNA from 1 species